ACUGGGGAAACUGGCUAGCCAUAUGUAGAAAGCUGAAACUGGAUCCCUUCCUUGCACCUUAUACAAAAAUUAACCCAAGAUGGAUUAAAGACUUAAAUGUUAGACCUAAAACCAUAAAAACCCUAGAAGAAAACCUAGGCAAUACCAUUCAGGACAUAGAGAAAACUUAGGCAAUACCAUUGAGGACAUAGGCAUGGGCAAAGACUUAAUGACUAAAACACCAAAAGCAAUGGCAACAAAAGCCAAAAUUGACAAGUGGGAUCUAAUUAAACUAAAGAGCUUCUGCACAGCAAAAGAAACUAUCAUCAGAGUGAACACGCAAACUACAGAAUGGGA
rnacentral:lncRNA from 1 species